GUCAUAGAUCCACCACUUGUUGAUCACCCUUCUUCAGCAGCAGUGCAUGCCGCCGUUCCGCAGUCAGAACAUACAAUCGGAAACAUUGCACAAGAUACUUUUCUCUUCUCACCUUUCUCAAGAACAGAAGUAUUCACGAUGAGAAAGCUUGUUCUGGUACUCUUAAUCUCGAUGUUUCUCGUGACUGAGAUCAUUCAAGGCACAGAUGCUGGUAGCGUGUUUGGUAGACGUAGAGGGGCUGCUCCAUAUAAGAGCAAAAAGAAAGGACGUACUCACUUAGAAGACCAGGUUCCGGGUGUUCCUAAAGUUGAUGUCAACGUGAAUAGCGGAUCGAAAAUGGGAGAACUUUAGCACAAAAUUUUUCAUCAGGGGUCCGUUGCAGAAAGAGCUGCAAUCGUAUUGAAACUAAGUUACUGGGGCUUGCCUCCCAUACAAGCUUUGCUUUCCUUGGCAAGCCCCUCCGUUCUGUUUUAUAUAGCUAUUAUAGUCAAAGUUGCUUUAGUUCGCAUCAGUUCUCAUUGUUUAUACCUUUUAAUUCUUAUGCAUUAUUCCGAUUGAUGUUGUACUUUAAAUUUGACUAUGUAUUG